rnacentral:rRNA from 1 species
UACGGGGGGGGGCAAGCGUUUGUUCGGAAUUACUGGGCGUAAAGGGCUCGUAGGCGGCCAACUAAGUCGGACGUGAAAUCCCUCGGCUUAACCGGGGAACUGCGUCCGAUACUGGAUGGCUUGAGUUCGGGAGAGGGAUGCGGAAUUCCAGGUGUAGCGGUGAAAUGCGUAGAUAUCUGGAGGAACACCGGUGGCGAAGGCGGCAUCCUGGACCGACACUGACGCUGAGGAGCGAAAGCCAGGGGAGCAAACGGG